rnacentral:rRNA from 1 species
CCUACGGGAGGCAGCAGUGAGGAAUAUUGGUCAAUGGACGGAAGUCUGAACCAGCCAUGCCGCGUGCAGGAAGACGGCCCUAUGAGUUGUAAACCGCUUUUGUACAAGGGUAAAGCUGGAGACGUGUACUGAGCCGAAAGUACUGUGAGAAAAAGGAUCGGCUAACUCCGUGACAGCAGCCGCGGUAAUACGGAGGAUCCAAGCGUUAUCCGGAUUUAUUGGGUUGAAAGGGUGCUGAGGCGGGAUGAUAAGUGAGUGGGUAAAUGUGCGGGCUUAACCAGGGAACUGCCUCUAAUACUGUUGAUCUAGAGAGUGGGAGCGGUACGCGGAAUGUGUGGUGUAGCGGUGAAAUGCUUAGAUAUCAUACAGAACACCGAUUGCGAAGGCAGCUUACCAGUCUCUAUCUGACGUUGAGGCACGAAAGCGUGGGGAGCGAACAGGAUUAGAUACCCGUGUAGUC